UCUCUUCUAUCACACACACACAGAGCUGUCUCUCAUUCCCCCCAAAUUACUCGAUCCCUCAAAACUCCCCUAAAUCUAUUUUCUCUCAUACUCAACCCUUACGAGCCAGAGCAUAGAAAAACGCGAAGCAAAAGAAGAAGCUGAAGAGAGAGAACGAACAUCUAAGACCUUCUCCUCUUGGCUCUCCUCUUCCUCGGCACCUUAGGGCGUGCUGAUCGACAGCCCACUAGUCGUUUUCUUCAAUUUCAGUUUGGUUUCUUACAAAAGGUAUGAAAUUAUAGAAGAAAUAAGAACCCAUUGUCUGAGGGCUUAGCUUUAUUGAGUUUAUGGGGUUCUUAAUUUGCUUAAUUUGGUGAAUUCAAUGCUUUGCCCUUCGCCGUCUGAAAGAUCUUAAAUUUCUCUCUGUAAAUGUUUCCUUUUGAUUUUUACAUUGUAAUUUCUUGCAAUUAUCUUAUGUGCUUCCCUUUCGUUGUAGGAUUUGCCAUUUGAAAGGUGAUCUGUUUAAAGGUUUGGAUUUUGUUUUUCGAUUAUUGUUGCUUAAUUUUGUGUUUAUAAGUUUGGUUAGAUCUGUUAUGUAUUUUUUGGCUGAAUGAGAAAGUUGUAUUUGAUAGGUUUUUCAUUAUAUACAUAAAAAAAAAGUUUCAAGACCGGAUAAAGCAUGAUUUGUUGAAUAUUAAAAGUUAAUUACACAAAUGAAGAGGUCUAGAGAUUGUCUACAUGAGUUCUCAACUUAAACGUCCCAUCGUCUCUUCUCGUGCUGAACCGUAAGUCUUCCUUCUAUCUCUAUUUUUGUCUAUUAGUAUUAUUAUUUAGUAUUUCUUUUCAUUAAUCUGCGGUUACAUGUUUUCCCUGUUAAUUAUGAAGAAAUAGAUAUGUUAGAAAUGAUAUUUUGCUCAGAAGUGUUCUAUUCAAUUAUUCCGGAAUAGCUCUAACAUUAAACCGAAUCUUGUUUAGCAGUUUGUUAGAAUUGUGAGCUUGAGUGUUUAGCAGUUUGUUAGAAUAGCUCUAUACAUUUAUUACCCUUGAUUUUGCGAUUAUCUCAAUAAUUUCACUAAUGGAAAAGAUUGAAUUUUCAUAAAGUUUUAUCGUUUCUUUUAUAUCUUUUGUUUUUGAUAUGUAAGAAGUUUGUUCCUUCCAAAAAAAAAUUGUUACGAGUUUAGUGAUAUAUUAGCUUGAAGCCAAAAUUGUUACGAGUUUAGUGAUAUAUUGAAUAUAAUAUUUUUAUCUCGGUAAUUUUAUUUUGGGAAAUGAAGCUCUGGGCAAGCCCAAAAUUUUGGUGGAGGCAGCACCCAAAAACUAACAACACAUGAUGCCUUAUCCUACCUGAAGGCCGUGAAAGACAUAUUUCAAGAGUUAGUUCAAUGAGUUUCUUGAAGUUAUUUUAUAAUAAUUAUAGUUGUUUGAACUAAAAUCUAAUAAAUUUGUAUUGAUUUUGAAUUUUCUGAUUUCUAAAUUGACUUCAAAAAGUGCACCAAAAUAUGUGAUUAAUUUGAGUUGGUGGUACAUGAUGAUUUUGUAUAUGGAGAGUAUGAUGACCACCGCACUUACCAUGAAAGUGGUAAAGGAACAUUUGUUAUCCACAUUUGCACAUGUUUGAUUUUGACUAUGUGCAACAAAAUUGGCAUGAAUAACAUGUUUAGGAGGUUUAAACUAAUUAGCACUAAUGAAGCUUCCAUUAUGCUUUUGAAGAUGAAAGUUGAUGCUUAUUCGCUUUGGCUAACUAUUGGUAGAUAAUUUAUAUAUGUCCAAGCUUUUAGUCCACAGUUGAAGCUUCUCUGAAGCAUUAGGUUGAUGCUACAUGGACUCUUCAUUUUAUCUUAACGUAUUUGUAUCAGAUAGUCGACACUAGGAUAAGGGUGUGUGUGUUGGACAUUUCAUUAUAGUUCUAAAUUUUGGUGAAAUUAAGGAGUGUUUGUGUUAGACUCUUUAAAGUACAUGUGUCCGAUCGGACACUCUAUCCAAGUCCAUGUAACUAAUGCAUUAGCUGACUGUAUGUGAGUGUCAUACAUGAAAAAUUGUCUGGGGUUUAAAAUUUGAGCUAAAUUCUUUGGGAGUCUGCUACAAUACCACAAGUAGGCAUCACAUUGCUCACAUUCAUGGUCUUAACGAAGUGAAGUUAUUAUUAUUAUUAUAUAUAUUUUUUUUUUNNNNNNNNNNNNNNNNNNNNNNNNNNNNNNNNNNNNNNNNNNNNNNNNNNNNNNNNNNNNNNNNNNNNNNNNNNNNNNNNNNNNNNNNNNNNNNNNNNNNNGGGUGUAAUAGAAGUAAUGGUUGGUGAUUACUAGAAGCAAUUUCGGAAGCAGAUAAUGUUGGUUUGUAUUAAUUUGGCAAUGAUCUGAUGAUACAAAGACAAAGUUAUUUUAUAUUAUUGCAACAACAAAACAUGACUCUUUUUCAGAUGGAGGGUAGUAAAAAUUUCAAUCAAAAUAUGAGAUAGAACUUCAACUGAUUCUAAAUUUACUUUCUAACUCAAAAGUCCACAUUUUCAGCAUCAUUUUGGGAAUCAAUCGCAGAAUAUUACGUAGUAAUUGGACCUCCUACGGGUUCCCAAGGUACCAUGAUAACUUUGACCUUUGAUACUUUUUGUGACCCUACAUUAUUGACGGUGCUAAACUUUUCGAAAUAUUUUUCUCCUUUAUUCUGGACCAGGGCUUAUCUCAUGGUUAUUCCUUCCAGCAGUUGCUGAUGGGAUGUAUUUCAAUGUUUCGAUAAUAUUAUACUAGAUUUUACAUAUUCUGGUGACACAACAUUAGUUUGCACAUCUAACUAAUGUUUCAUAUUAGGUUGUAGGAAUUUUUUGGGAUUCAAUGCCAUUGGAGGCAAGAAGAAGGCUUGCAGUGCAGGAAGAAGCGAAAGUAAUCUUCUUUUCUCAUAAUCAGUUUUAGAGGAGUUUUUGGUUAUAUUUUUAGUUAUGUCAUUUAAAAUGUCAUCAAAUACAAGUUCUGAAGAAUAUGAGACUGACAAAUGUUCUAUGAAAGCAAACAAGACCUGAAAUCAAAGACUGAUAGAAGGACAAUGAGAAAUAUUUAGGAGCAAUUUUGUAGGAAGAUUGGUAGCAACAGUUUUAAUCAAAAAGUGAUAGCAACAAUUGUAGAAAGCAGAAGCAGUAGUAUGGUGACAUAUUAAAAAAAACAUUUCAAUUUUCUUUGUAUUCAGCAGACAGAUUUGUAAUCUUAUAUCCCAUUGUCUAAUUCUUAUAGAUUUUGGGAUAUAUUUUCAAUAAUAUUUUAG
rnacentral:lncRNA from 1 species